GACACUUCAACAUGUAGUGUAGGAACCGGUUGGGUGUGUGGACUCGCCCUAGCCAUAUAGAGGGACUAGAGGGUCUCUGUAGACACUUCAACAUGUAGUGUAGGAACCGGUUGGAUGUGUGGGUUCACCCUAGCCACAUAGAGGGACUGGAGGGCCUCUGUAGACACUUCAACAUGUAUGUUAGGGACCACUUGACGGAUAGAACCAACACAGUCCACCAGUUGCAGUUCUUGGCCCCAGAAGUUUGCCAGUUCUUGGCAGGUAUAACACGAUAGCUUAACUGUAUGUUGCGUAGAUUAUUACUGGUGAUAAAACUUGGUUUGUUAGAAUGAAUACUCUAGACGUCUGAUCUUGUUAGCGGUUGCUAUGGUUUUUUUCAGUAGUUCUUAGCAUUAAUUACUAAGCCUCUAGCACUUAAGCACAAGACUUCGUUCAUUUCUCCCAUUUUUUUUUUUGCAAUGCCAUUGCAGUAUUAAAGCAAUGGGGCGGAUAUGGUUGGGCUACAUCCAUAAUUAGUGCCCGACACUAGAUUUAAAUUAGUUUUUUUUGAGCAACUUCAAUUUAGAUUUUCUUAAUCGUCUAAUUGCCGUCGUCAGGCUUGAGUCAUCAAACUGAUAAGGAAUUGAUGCUGGAAAUAGAUUUAGCUGCUGCAGUUUUUUGUAAAAUCUAUCUUAUCACUAAUUUCCAGUUCCUCAGACGGAUAUCCAGACCUCUGUGAAUUGCCUGUCUGUUCCAACUACAGACACAGCUUGUCUGGAACUGCAGGUAACUUAGACGUUAACUUUUAACUUCACGUAUUGCCAAUCUGACCAAAUUAGGAAUGUAAACAAUGAACUACGAAGUGUCUGUUAACAGGGCAGUUCCUGUGUGGCUACAGACCCACAGAUGGAAGCCCACAGGAGUACGUGUAAGGAACGUCUUUUCGCUUCCAUUGGUGACUUCCCUGAACUAAUGCACUACAUUGGUAAGUUAUUUUGUCUUAUAGAUGGUAAGCAAAUUUUCCAAAUAUUUAUUUAGGUUUAUAAAUUCAAAUGUAUGUUGGAUCUUUUUCUCUUUUUCGAAGAUUCUUGCUCCGUCGAUCUGUGUGAUGUACACGAGCGGCGCCAGUGAGGGUGUGAUAGACGACUGACUUCAGAACCUGGUGGACAUAGUGAAGGUGGCUGGCCGGCUGCUGCAUCUGGCUGGGAAGGGGAGUGGUGCUGGUAGAGAUAGUUAUAGCCCCUAUGCUCCUGUGCCAGGGAAGAAUACAGAAAUAACGGUGAACGUGACUGUGCCAGAAGCCUCGAUUGAAGUCACCGUCUUCACGACGGGACACACAGUACUUCGGGACACUACUACCGUGCUUACCAGUCUCGCGGAAGGUUACGACACUGUCCUCGCCUCUUACGGUGAUGUAGACUAUCCAGUGACCUCUACGGUAGCUGCUGUAGCACCUACAAUACCCCAGUCUGCAGCUACGAUUGUAUUAUUUGGGAACUAAGUGGGCCUAUUCUUCCCUAGUCUUUUUUUUUCCCCCCUAACAAAUGUUUGGAUCGACAUGUCCUUUUUUUUUCAAAAAUAUCAAACAUAAAGAAUUUAACUUGUGGAAUUUUUUUGUUUAUUUAUUAGUGCUCUUGUAAUUUAUUUUGGGCAAGUUUCUUAAUUUGGAAACUUGAUGGUAUAUUUUAAUAAAAUAUUGACAUUUAGGCUAAACGGUCAUUGGGUAAUGAAAUUCAGAAUUAAUUCUGUUUUAAAAGAUUUUUGGAAUUCAUAUAACAGAAGUUCUCUGCAAAAUGUAUUAACUUGCUUUUUACUGUGCAAUUAAAAUCUUAGAUCAUU